UUAAGCGACUAAGCGUACACGGUGGAUGCCCUGGCAGUCAGAGGCGAUGAAGGACGUGCUAAUCUGCGAAAAGCGUCGGUAAGGUGAUAUGAACCGUUAUAACCGGCGAUGUCCGAAUGGGGAAACCCAGUGCAAUUCGUUGCACUAUCGUUAACUGAAUACAUAGGUUAACGAGGCGAACCGGGGGAACUGAAACAUCUAAGUACCCCGAGGAAAAGAAAUCAACCGAGAUUCCCCCAGUAGCGGCGAGCGAACGGGGAGCAGCCCAGAGUCUGAAUCAGCUUGUGUGUUAGUGGAACGGUCUGGAAAGUCCGACGGUACAGGGUGAUAGUCCCGUACACCAAAAUGCACAGGCUGUGAACUCGAAGAGUAGGGCGGGACACGUGGUAUCCUGUCUGAAUAUGGGGGGACCAUCCUCCAAGGCUAAAUACUCCUGACUGACCGAUAGUGAACCAGUACCGUGAGGGAAAGGCGAAAAGAACCCCGGCGAGGGGAGUGAAAAAGAACCUGAAACCGUGUACGUACAAGCAGUGGGAGCACCUUCGGGUGUGACUGCGUACCUUUUGUAUAAUGGGUCAGCGACUUAUAUUCUGUAGCAAGGUUAACCGUAUAGGGGAGCCGCAGGGAAACCGAGUCUUAACUGGGCGUUAAGUUGCAGGGUAUAGACCCGAAACCCGGUGAUCUAGCCAUGGGCAGGUUGAAGGUUGGGUAACACUAACUGGAGGACCGAACCGACUAAUGUUGAAAAAUUAGCGGAUGACUUGUGGCUGGGGGUGAAAGGCCAAUCAAACCGGGAGAUAGCUGGUUCUCCCCGAAAGCUAUUUAGGUAGCGCCUCGUGAACUCAUCUUCGGGGGUAGAGCACUGUUUCGGCUAGGGGGUCAUCCCGACUUACCAACCCGAUGCAAACUACGAAUACCGAAGAAUGUUAUCACGGGAGACACACGGCGGGUGCUAACGUCCGUCGUGAAGAGGGAAACAACCCAGACCGCCAGCUAAGGUCCCAAAGUCAUGGUUAAGUGGGAAACGAUGUGGGAAGGCACAGACAGCCAGGAUGUUGGCUUAGAAGCAGCCAUCAUUUAAAGAAAGCGUAAUAGCUCACUGGUCGAGUCGGCCUGCGCGGAAGAUGUAACGGGGCUAAACCAUGCACCGAAGCUGCGGCAGCGACACUAUGUGUUGUUGGGUAGGGGAGCGUUCUGUAAGCCUGCGAAGGUGUGCUGUGAGGCAUGCUGGAGGUAUCAGAAGUGCGAAUGCUGACAUAAGUAACGAUAAAGCGGGUGAAAAGCCCGCUCGCCGGAAGACCAAGGGUUCCUGUCCAACGUUAAUCGGGGCAGGGUGAGUCGACCCCUAAGGCGAGGCCGAAAGGCGUAGUCGAUGGGAAACAGGUUAAUAUUCCUGUACUUGGUGUUACUGCGAAGGGGGGACGGAGAAGGCUAUGUUAGCCGGGCGACGGUUGUCCCGGUUUAAGCAUGUAGGCUGGUUAUCCAGGCAAAUCCGGAUAAUCAAGGCUGAGGUGUGAUGACGAGGCACUACGGUGCUGAAGUAACAAAUGCCCUGCUUCCAGGAAAAGCCUCUAAGCAUCAGGUAACAUCAAAUCGUACCCCAAACCGACACAGGUGGUCAGGUAGAGAAUACCAAGGCGCUUGAGAGAACUCGGGUGAAGGAACUAGGCAAAAUGGUGCCGUAACUUCGGGAGAAGGCACGCUGGUGUGUAGGUGAAGUCCCUGCGGAUGGAGCUGAGACCAGUCGAAGAUACCAGCUGGCUGCAACUGUUUAUUAAAAACACAGCACUGUGCAAACACGAAAGUGGACGUAUACGGUGUGACGCCUGCCCGGUGCCGGAAGGUUAAUUGAUGGGGUUAUCCGUAAGGAGAAGCUCUUGAUCGAAGCCCCGGUAAACGGCGGCCGUAACUAUAACGGUCCUAAGGUAGCGAAAUUCCUUGUCGGGUAAGUUCCGACCUGCACGAAUGGCGUAAUGAUGGCCAGGCUGUCUCCACCCGAGACUCAGUGAAAUUGAACUCGCUGUGAAGAUGCAGUGUACCCGCGGCAAGACGGAAAGACCCCGUGAACCUUUACUAUAGCUUGACACUGAACAUUGAGCCUUGAUGUGUAGGAUAGGUGGGAGGCUUUGAAGCGUGGACGCCAGUCUGCGUGGAGCCAACCUUGAAAUACCACCCUUUAAUGUUUGAUGUUCUAACGUUGGCCCCUGACCGGGGUUGCGGACAGUGUCUGGUGGGUAGUUUGACUGGGGCGGUCUCCUCCCAAAGCGUAACGGAGGAGCACGAAGGUUAGCUAAUCCUGGUCGGACAUCAGGAGGUUAGUGCAAUGGCAUAAGCUAGCUUGACUGCGAGCGUGACGGCGCGAGCAGGUGCGAAAGCAGGUCAUAGUGAUCCGGUGGUUCUGAAUGGAAGGGCCAUCGCUCAACGGAUAAAAGGUACUCCGGGGAUAACAGGCUGAUACCGCCCAAGAGUUCAUAUCGACGGCGGUGUUUGGCACCUCGAUGUCGGCUCAUCACAUCCUGGGGCUGAAGUAGGUCCCAAGGGUAUGGCUGUUCGCCAUUUAAAGUGGUACGCGAGCUGGGUUUAGAACGUCGUGAGACAGUUCGGUCCCUAUCUGCCGUGGGCGCUGGAGAAUUGAGGGGGGCUGCUCCUAGUACGAGAGGACCGGAGUGGACGCAUCACUGGUGUUCGGGUUGUCAUGCCAAUGGCACUGCCCGGUAGCUAAAUGCGGAAGAGAUAAGUGCUGAAAGCAUCUAAGCACGAAACUUGCCCCGAGAUGAGUUCUCCCUGAGACUAUAAGUCUCCUGAAGGAACGUUAAAGACGAUGACGUUGAUAGGCCGGGUGUGUAAGCGCAGCGAUGCGUUGAGCUAACCGGUACUAAUGAACCGUGAGGCUUAACCU
rnacentral:rRNA from 1 species